rnacentral:rRNA from 1 species
AUGUACUCCAAACAUGGAUUGUCUUCUGCAAAUUUUGGAGGGCAGAAAGCAUUCUCUAUUUUUCUACUGACAUGUUCCUGCAAUAAACAGAGGGCAACUAUUGAAGAAUAUCCAUUUAAUGUGUUAGAACAGAGGAAUACAUCACAGCUAGGCUCAAGUAACAAUAGAAAAUGGCUGGUUAUUUUAGUUGUUUUUCUUACACCUGAAUAUAAAAAAUGUGCAGCUCUUCUUUACACAAGGGUGGAGAGAAAUUUGAUACUUAGUUCUGCUCUUCUAUUUCAUUACCGUUCAAAUGGUCCACUGAUUUUAGUGCAAACAUACUCUUGGAUACUCUUUGUGAGUGACCCAAAAACAAGAGGGGGCAUACUUCCAUUUCAAACAACAAAAAUGAAUGUUCUUUGCUUCGCUUCUUGA